CCUAAAACAAAAAAGAACGUGGUUCUCUUCUGGUUCAUCCCCAAAACCAAAUCCCCAAGCCGACAAUGGAUCGCGAUCUCGAACAAGAGAUAUGUUCCCUCGAGGAUUCAGGAAGAAAGGUACCAUCCAUCUCUCCACCUACCUUCGAAGCUUGGGCGCAAAUUAACGAUGCAGAAGACCAAGGAUAUGCAAGAUAUGAGAAACUGUUAUGAUGGAUUAUUAUCUGCAGCUGCUGCAACCGCAAAUAGUAUAUAUGGAACGUCACGAAACGCGCCAUUAGCGUCGAGAUGAACAAACAGCCAAACAGGUUUAGUUGAGAAGGAGGCGUAAACAGAGAGGAUGGGUCAAUAAUGGAAGAGGCGUAAACAAAGAGGAUGGGUCAAUAAUGGAAGAGAUUGUGGCGACCCGCUUUGGCUGGAUUAAUAGCAGGUGCAAGGAGUUGAAAUGUGGCUGGGAAGUUUGGAAGAUAGAUCCUUGUAACAGUUUUUCUUUUUGUAACAUGUAGGUUGUGUGUUUUUUAGCCUUACUGCAGUGUCGUUUUGUUUUUUUUACUUGUGAUUCCAGCACUUCGCUAGUCUUCCUUUUUAAUAAUAUGUUGUUGUUCUCGAGACUCUUGUACUAUAUCUUGUAUACUAUGAAGUGGUUAUCUUAUAUAA